rnacentral:tRNA from 1 species
GGAGGGUUGCGAGAGCGGCCGAAUCGGCACGCUUGGAAAGCGUGUGUGCUCGCAAGGGCACCGUGGGUUCGAAUCCCACACCCUCCG